UAUGGAGUGGUGAGCUCCUCUUAUCA
rnacentral:tRNA from 1 species